AAACGCCACAAUUCUUAUAAAUGUGCCAUGAGCAUUAGGCCGAAGCAACUUACAACUGACUGGUCGUUGGGAAGUGCGGAGAUAUUCAAUGAGGGCCGGUCGGGUUUUCAUUAAUUUUUUUCGCAGCGGUGGGCCAACAUUAAAUUAAAUCCAUUUUAUGAUGCGUCUCUUACUCUUGCACGCACGCACACGCAAGGUAUGACUCCUCCCCUCCCUAAUAAAACUUGUCCGGUUUUGUCUCUGAACGUGAUUUAUUUAUCACAAACUCGAUCACCGUGGUUUCGUUUCAACGUGCAUCACGCUGGAGUCUUUUUAUUUCAAUUAUUCCAUUCCAUUGAUUGGGAGAUCAGCUGGUCGACGUGCUGCAGCCGCAUGCCCUGACUGGUUUAUUAUUUCGGUGUGUUGAUUCGGACAAAUAUUGGGUCUGCACCUGCCUACUUUUCGUGUCUAAAAACUUUCAUUUAGAUAAGCUACCUAAGCAGUACUUUCAUAUUAUCAGAUUGCCUCUUGUACUGAAAACCUAGGCUGAAUUUGCAGAAUUUUAAAAUGGCAUCAAGUUUAACUGAAAUCGCUGAUUGGUAUGCCAGCUGAAGCUCCCGCAGACCCGGACAUUAUUCACAGCCAGCAGGCCUGUCAGCGGAGAUAACGCAUGGUGGAUCCGCCUUCCCGCUUUCCCGCCUUCCUGCCCGGAAAAUGGGAGAAGAGUGAGUGGUGGCAUGCGGCAGGGCUCCGCCCCCAGUUCCGCCCCCCCAGCGCCGCCUUCCAGCUCCGCCCCCAGCUCCGCCCAGCUCCCGCCUCCCUGAUAGCUCUGCAGUGCAGACUGCCGCUGACAGAUUUCUCUACAACAGACAAAAAGUCCACCGUUCGGCUAUGAGCGAGAGUCCUGCGACAAGGUAGACACGGCGGCCAGCGCGGCUAACGUCAAGCGGGAUUUAAAAAAUCCAUUCAGCCUCUCGUAAUCCCGCCAACUGCCAACCUUCAGGCGCUUUCUCCUCACUCUUUGUUUAAGAACGUCGCUGCUGGGAGGCCGUAUUCCGCUCCAGCCUGAGCGAAGCGCGGCGCUAAUCGGCUCCAAGCCCCGGCCGAAUGAAUACAGAUCAGCUAGCCGGCUGCUGCCUGGCCCAGCCUCUCAUCCUCAGGACAGCGGCCUUCUCUGCGGAAGACAGAUAGAGUUAAUUAUGGAAGAUCAAAUACACCUCGUUUACACGAGCCGGGAAACCAAAAUGAAAAAAAAUUCAAUAAGAAAAACAAAAACAACAAAAAAAAAAGCAGUAAUGAAAUGGCCAUUGUUCCCGUACACACACAGAAGUGAGCUGCAGACCAGAUGAAAGGAACCGUAAAUGGAGCUAAUCUAAAUUGAGCUGACCUGGUCCUCCCCUCUGUCACGGUAGCCAUUAAUUAAGUUAAGUCAAUUACGUUUAAUUAAGACCGUAUUUAGCCCGUAGUCUUGUAGGCCAACCCUUAAUGACCAAGUAAAAAUCGUUCAGCAACAAUUGAUGACUUAUAGAUAUCUCUUUUGAUAUUGCCUUUUUGAUGAGAGAUAUAAAAACACAGUAUAUCACACUUCUUUCCUUACUCAUACACAUUCAGUGACAUUAACUGUGUUCAUUUGGCCUCGCUUUAGGAACAAAGGAUUCUCUGCUGUUCUCUUUCCUGAUCAUAUCUCUGCUCUUUCUUACAUGGCAGAUAAAUCUGACUGAAGUUCCCAUUUCACUCUACAGGUGUUUCACUGGCUAAUAUGCAGUCCUGAUUAUUGACAAACUGACAUUGAAAUUGACACAUGGUCUUCUUUGUCUGCUGUUCCAUAAGGUUGCCAUUCCAAAUUAUCCAACUGCAGCUAAUCAUAAAAAAUGAAAAUAAAAACAUUUUUUGGAUCAGAAGAAAA